CCUACGGGAGGCAGCAGUGGGGAAUUUUGGACAAUGGGCGAAAGCCUGAUCCAGCCAUGCCGCGUGCAGGAUGAAGGCCUUCGGGUUGUAAACUGCUUUUGUACGGAACGAAACGGUCUCUUCUAAUAAAGGGGGCUAAUGACGGUACCGUAAGAAUAAGCACCGGCUAACUACGUGCCAGCAGCCGCGGUAAUACGUAGGGUGCAAGCGUUAAUCGGAAUUACUGGGCGUAAAGCGUGCGCAGGCGGUUAUAUAAGACAGUUGUGAAAUCCCCGGGCUCAACCUGGGAACUGCAUCUGUGACUGUAUAGCUAGAGUACGGUAGAGGGGGAUGGAAUUCCGCGUGUAGCAGUGAAAUGCGUAGAUAUGCGGAGGAACACCGAUGGCGAAGGCAAUCCCCUGGACCUGUACUGACGCUCAUGCACGAAAGCGUGGGGAGCAAACAGGAUUAGAUACCCUGGUAGUCCACGCCCUAAACGAUGUCAACUGGUUGUUGGGUCUUCACUGACUCAGUAACGAAGCUAACGCGUGAAGUUGACCGCCUGGGGAGUACGGCCGCAAGGUUGAAACUCAAAUGAAAUUGACGG
rnacentral:rRNA from 1 species